GGCACUUUGGUCUAGUGGUAUGAUUCUUGCUUUGGGUGCAAGAGGUCCUGGGUUCGAUUCCCAGAAGUGCCC
rnacentral:tRNA from 2 species